rnacentral:rRNA from 1 species
CAGCAGCCGCGGUAAUACAGAGGGUGCGAGCGUUAAUCGGAUUUACUGGGCGUAAAGCGUGCGUAGGCGGCUUUUUAAGUCGGAUGUGAAAUCCCUGAGCUUAACUUAGGAAUUGCAUUCGAUACUGGGAAGCUAGAGUAUGGGAGAGGAUGGUAGAAUUCCAGGUGUAGCGGUGAAAUGCGUAGAGAUCUGGAGGAAUACCGAUGGCGAAGGCAGCCAUCUGGCCUAAUACUGACGCUGAGGUACGAAAGCAUGGUGAGCAAACAGGAUUAGAUACCCGAGUAGUCCCUGUCUCUUAUAA